rnacentral:rRNA from 1 species
AUUGAACGCUGGCGGCAGGCCUAACACAUGCAAGUCGAGCGAGCGGCGGACGGGUGAGUAAUGUAUGGGGACUGCCCGAUAGAGGGGGAUAACUACUGGAAACGGUGGCUAAUACCGCAUACUAUCGGAUAACCCAUAUGGGAUUAGCUAGUAGGUGGGGUAAAGGAUCACCUAGGCGACGAUCUCUAGCUGGUCUGAGAGGAUGAUAAGCCACACGGAGACUGAGACAGGGCCCAGACACCUACGGAGGCAGCAGUGGGGAAUAGUGCACAAGGGGCGCAAGGCUGGUGCAGCCAUGCCGCGUGUAUGAAGAAGGCCUGAGGGUUGUAAAGUACUUUCAGCGGGGAGGCGUUAACAGCAGAAGAAGCACCGGCUAACUCCGUGCCAGCCGCCGCGGUAAUUC